rnacentral:rRNA from 1 species
AACGAACGCUGGCGGCAUGCCUAACACAUGCAAGUCGAACGAGACCUUCGUGUCUAUUUGCGCACGGGUGCGUAACGCGUGGGAACCUGCCCUUAGGUUCGGAAUAACUCCCCUAAAGUGGUUCUAAUACCGGAUAAUUUCUUCCGACCAAAGAUUCAUCGCCUUUUGAUGGGCCUUCGUUGGAUUAGCUAGUUUGUAGGGUAAAAGCCUACCAAGGCGAGAAUCGAUAGCUGGUCAGAGAGGAUGAUCAGCCACACUGGGACUGAGACACGGCGCAGAAUACUGCAGGAGGGAGCAAUGGGGAAUAUUGGAAAGUGGGAGAAAGGCUGAAGGAGCAAAGGCGCGUGGGUGAUGAAGGCCUUAGGGUAGUAAAGAAAUUUUACACGGGAUGAUAAUGACAGUACCGGAAGAAUAAGCCCCGGCUAACUACGUG